rnacentral:tRNA from 1 species
GGGGAUGUAGCUCAGUUGGUAGAGUGUUGCCUUGCACACAGCCCUGGGUUUGAUCCCCAGCACCAUCA